rnacentral:rRNA from 1 species
CGUAGGGUGCGAGCGUUAAUCGGAAUUACUGGGCGUAAAGCGGGCGCAGACGGUUUGUUAAGCAGGAUGUGAAAUCCCCGGGCUCAACCCGGGAACUGCGUUCUGAACUGGCAGGCUAGAGUGUGUCAGAGGGGGGUAGAAUUCCACGUGUAGCAGUGAAAUGCGUAGAGAUGUGGAGGAAUACCGAUGGCGAAGGCAGCCCCCUGGGAUAACACUGACGUUCAUGCCCGAAAGCGUGGGUAGCAAACAGGAUU